rnacentral:rRNA from 1 species
GAUGAACGCCGGCGGCGUGCCUAAUACAUGCAAGUCGAGCGAACAGAUGAGGAGCUUGCUCCUCUGACGUUAGCGGCGGACGGGUGAGUAACACGUGGAUAACCUACCUAUAAGACUGGGAUAACUUCGGGAAACCGGAGCUAAUACCGGAUAAUAUAUUGAACCGCAUGGUUCAAUAGUGAAAGACGGUUUUGCUGUCACUUAUAGAUGGAUCCGCGCCGCAUUAGCUAGUUGGUAAGUUAACGGCUUACCAAGGCAACGAUUCGUAGCCGACCUGAGAGGGUGUUCAGCAACACGGGAAAUGAGACACGGUACAGACUCCUACGGGAGGCGGCAGUAAGGAAUCUACCGCAAUAAGCGAACGCGUGACGGAGCAACGCGGCGGGAGUGAUGAAGGUGUUCGGAACGUAAAACUAUGGUAUUAGGGAAGAAGAAAUGAGGAAGUAAAUAUGCACGACUUGACGGUACCUGAUCAGAAAGCCAAGGCUAACUAAGUG